ACCUCAUGCAUAUUUGAAUGGAGAGUGUGUGAUUGGGAGAGCUCUCUGAAAGUUCCAUUUUUCCACCCUCCCUAUCCCCUCCUUCAGUAAUGUGCCCAGGACCCCCCAGUCAAGGAUCAGGGACCCAUUGUUCAAGAUGCUCUGCAGACAUUUAGCAAAGAUGAGAGUUCUUGACCCAGAGAGCUCACAGUCUGACAGACAGAGUACACCAGUUGGACAAAACAACGUGGAUAAAUUGCCAGCUGGAAUCACCAAAAGACAGAUCUAUAUUUUUUCCCCCAGAGAAAUGUAUUUCCUAACAAAAUGCAUCAUGAGAACUGCAGGGAAGCAUGUUCUGAGUAAUUGGAACUGAAGACAACUGGUACUGUAGCAUAAACAGGGUUUUGCUGUAUGAGAACCCAUUAGGAAAUGAUCCCACUCUAAUAUUAAUUUCAAUUCAUAAAGCACUAGUUGACGUCCACAAGAUUAUGCACCGCGCCUUGGUUGUUAAAAUAUAAUACAAAGUAAUGUAUUUGCAAAGGACAGUCUGACAAGACAGCACAACAUGAUUAUUGUUGUUUAUUGGGCCACAAACCCCAUCCCAGCCCUUAAGAAGCAAGAUUUAAUAUUGUGCUAUAAUUUCUUCAAACUCCUGCCUUGAUGGAUUUUCAAAUUACGGCAACAUGCUUUUGAUCCUUAAGGAUAGUGUAAAGAAUAAAUAUUCUGUUGCUCAUCUGGUAAAUGUGUACCACCAAUCUCUACUCAAACUCAGUAUUUAUAAUUCGAUCCUACAUCGCUGAAAUCAAUGGGAGCUUUUCCAUUGUCUCAGGACUGGCCCUCAAUUUGCAGCUUGGGAAAUAUGAGGAAUAAGCUGGGAGCUGUUCACCUGCACUAAGAACAUAUCAAAGUUAAGUAUUAAAGAAGCUAAUUGGGAUUGUAUUCUGGUUUAGUGCUAGCUCUUAAGAAGAUAUAUAAAGGAUGGUAUGGUAUAUUAUAAAGGUUGUAUCUACAUGAGUUUUGGACUUCAGUGGUGAUGUAAUACUUUCCCGAUAGAUCCUUCAUACUACUGCUCCCACACACUGAAAUGCAGUCACUUGUGUAGUGGACUUAGGCAUCCAUUUAUGCAAAACUAUGCUUCUCAACAGACUACAGGUGAGGGUUAGGUUUUCUCCUAGUUACUUUUUUUUUUUUUUUUUAAUCAAUUUUACCAACAAGCAUCAGGAAAAGAGAAAUAAUUCACCAUCAGAGAUCAGUGCAAGAUAUGAUCUAACAUGUAUUUCUCGCUCAGUCCCAGUGAGUAUUAUUGUUA